GAUGAACGCUGACAGAAUGCUUAACACAUGCAAGUCUUUGGCGAAGCUGUGCUUGCACAGCCUAGCCAAGGCGGACGGGUGAGUAACGCGUAAGGAACUUGCCCUGCAGUCAGGGAUAACAGACGGAAACGACUGAUAAGACCUGGUAAAGUCAGGCGGACUCAUGUCCAGCCUGAUGAAAAGAGGUGCUGCAGGAGAGCCUUGCGUCCUAUUAGCUUGUUGGUGGGGUAACGGCCCACCAAGGCGAUGAUAGGUAGCCGGCCUGAGAGGGUGGACGGCCACAAGGGGACUGAGAUACGGCCCUUACUCCUACGGGAGGCAGCAGUGGGGAAUAUUGGACAAUGGGGGCAACCCUGAUCCAGCAAUUCUGUGUGCACGAUGAAGGUUUUCGGAGUGUAAAGUGCUUUCAGCAGGGAAGAAAAAAAUGACGGUACCUGCAGAAGAAGCGACGGCUAAAUACGUG
rnacentral:rRNA from 1 species